AGGGCCUCGAAGAAGAGACUGCUUCGUCUCGACUUUGAUAAACUACUGUGUACGUUCGUUCGUUCGUUCGUCCGUCACUCGUUGCACGUUCGCCCUCCCCGCCCCCCCCGGCCCGCCCCUGACCACUAAUUUGCACACUUGCUCACAACACUUGCGCAAAACGAAGAAACACACAAACACAAACACAAACGCGUAAUUGUUAAUUUUUCAUUUCAAUUAUGCCCAGUUUUAUCGUCGGUAGAUCGAUCUUACUACGAUUCAGGAUCAUCGCGACACAGUGCUGUUUGUGAUUUUGUGUUUCGUGUUUUAGUGCCUUUUUAUUUUGGAUUUUUAACCACGCUGAUAAGGACGACGACGCUGCUUUAGAGGGAGAAAUUGGCGAAUCCGUUGUUGCGAAUUCGAACAGCUGCUGUUGAGCUGAAUCGAUUCGAAGGACGGAUCUGAACGGAAUUUCGUAUUUGGUACACCGCGAGGUUGAAGCGCCGCUACGCCAAGAUACAAGGCACGUCCAGGGUGAUGCUUUCGGCUACCCAGAAUCAAGACGCCUCUUGAAUUAUUCUGGAAACGCGGUGCGGAUCAGCCACUGAACAGGGCGACCUAGGUCGGUGCCGGGGGUUGACGAGGCGGCAGAGGUAGUGGUGGCGGAACAGCGGGGAUACUAUGGGAGCGGGGGAAUGGGGGUCGGAGGAGGGCCACAAGCCACGGAACUCCGGCGACGGCUGUCCCAAAAAUCCUGCGACCGGCGAAUAUCUUCGCCUAAUCUGCUAGUGAAUGAUCCCCGCAAAAUUGACGAGUAUGCUCGAGGCUGCAGGGAGAAGGACAGCAGGACGGAACUGGCGAAAAACCCGAGUCUAUCUUCGGGCCAGCCGACGUGUCUAGGAUCAUGCAGACGUCGGUACAAGGAGCGGCAGGAUGAGGACAACGUGAUCCCUGGAAAAGUGAGGCUGGGAGCUGCUGCCGACUAUCGUCAGCGGCGGCUGACAACCGAAGACCAACGAGAUGCCGAUGAUAAUAUCAGGAGGCGCUGUCAGCUGCGGGGGAACUGGAGCUUUCGUUGGCUCUUUGAAAUGGUGGCGCAAGCUCUGGUUCUCGGCGUCAUACUUUUCGUCACACCAGGCUUGUGCUACCAGGACGCGGUCCACAUAACGGCGAUCCUGGGCGAGAGCGUGGUUUUCAACUGCCACGUGGAGUUCCCGGGUGAGCACCCAGUGCCCUACGUCCUCCAGUGGGAGAAGAAGGUAGGCGAUACGGUACGAUAUCGGCCACCACCCUCUGCUCUAUCCGGGCAGGGAAUACCGAUUUACAUAUGGUACGAGUCGUACCCAACCCACAGCGGCGAGGGAUACGAGGGUCGCGUGUCGAGGGUCGGUCCCAAUUCACCCUACGGAGUGGCCAGCCUCAACCUGACCAACAUUCAAGAGAGCGAUCAGGGCUGGUACGAAUGCAAGGUCGUCUUCCUGAACCGAUCGCCGAACAGUCAGAAGAACGGGACCUGGUUCCACCUCGACGUACACGCUCCUCCGCGAUUCAGCAUCACCCCCGAGGACGUAAUUUACGUAAAUCUUGGGGAUGCGAUAAUCCUGAAUUGUCAGGCCGAAGGCACUCCGACGCCGGAAAUCUUCUGGUACAAGGAUGCGAACCCUGUUGAACCCUCGGGCACGAUCGGAAUCUUCAACGACGGUACGGAGCUGAGGAUCGCGACGAUACGCGCCGAAGAGAUCGGCGAUUACACCUGCAUAGCGCGGAACGGCGAGGGACAGAUCAGUCACACAGCGCGAGUAAUCAUCGCUGGUGGAGCGGUGAUCAUGAUACCCCCCACGAACCAGACGAAGCUCGAGGGUGAAAAGGUGGUGUUUUCCUGCGAGGCGAAAGCUCUUCCGGGCAACGUGACUGUCCGCUGGUUUCGCGAGGGGGCUCCGGUCAAGGAGGUCGCGGCCCUGGAAACGCGGUUCACCAUCAGGAUGGAUGGCGGCCUCGUCGUGAAUCCGGUCAGCGCCGACGACUCCGGGCAGUAUCUCUGCGAGGUGACGAACGGCAUCGGGGAACCUCAGAGCGCCAGUGCUUACCUCAACGUCGAAUAUCCAGCCAAGGUCACCUUCACCCCGACCAUCCAGUACCUCCCUUUCCGGCUGGCCGGCGUCGUCCAGUGCUACAUCAAGUCCAACCCGCCUCUGCAGUACGUCACAUGGACGAAGGACAAACGGCUCCUCGAGCCCUACCAGACCAAGGACAUAGUCAUUAUGAACAACGGCUCGUUGCUCUUCACGAGGGUCAGCGAGAACCACCAGGGCCGGUACACCUGCACCCCGUACAACGCCCAGGGCACGCAGGGCAGCUCGGGACCGAUGGAGGUGCUGGUCAGGAAGCCCCCGGUCUUCACCGUCGAGCCGGAGCCCAUCUAUCAGCGGAAGGUCGGCGACACCGUCGAGAUGCACUGCGACGCCCAGGAGGCCGAGGGCACGCAGAACCCGACGAUCCAGUGGCAGCGAAAGGACGGUGCACCUCUGCAGCGUAACCGCGUCAAGGUCGUCGGCGGCAACUUGACCAUCGAUAGCUUGAGACGGUCGGAUUUUGGCUUUUACCAGUGCGUAGCCACCAACGAGGUCGCCACCAUCGUCGUCGCCACCCAGCUCGUCAUCGAGGGUAGCCAGCCUCACGCUCCCUACAACGUCACCGGGAAGGCUACCGAGUUCUCCGUCACACUCGAAUGGCUGCCGGGAAACUCCGGUGGACCGGACUACAAGCAGGAUUACACUAUCUGGUACCGUGAAGCUGGGACUUCGGAAUGGGAGACGAUACCGGUCACGCCAUCAGGCAGCACGACGGUCACUAUCAACAGGCUGGUUCCGGCAACAGUUUACGAGUUUCAAGUAGUAGGGAAAAACGCCCUCGGCGAAGGAAUGCUCAGUAAAGUGAUUACGAUUCGAACACUGGACGUCCGACUACAGUCUGGGGGAACGUCUUCGGCUGGUCAGGGUGGCUCUGCUGAUACCCCCGAUCAAACUGGAAAUCCCCCCGUCCAUCCAUCAACCGCCCAUCCGAAAGGACCUAAACCGGGUCCGCCAAGAAAUUUGACGAUAACCGAAAUCAGCAACGGAUUUCUCAUCACAUGGCAACAACCUCUGGAGAGGAGCCACCUGGUACAGUCCUACACCAUAAAGUACAAAACUGACGCCCAGUGGAAAACGCUCAACAAAGGACGGCAAAUUCGUCCCGAGGAAACCAGCUUCCUGGUGAAAAGUCUGGUCGGAGGACGGACGUACCACUUCCAAGUCUUCGCGAAUUCGGAAACGAACUACGGGGCCAGCGACCAAGUGAAGUUUCCGGUUCCAGCGAGGGUAAAGCACAAAGCGAUAACCGCCGGGGUGGUUGGCGGCAUCCUGUUCUUCAUCGUGGCGAUAAUCCUGAGCAUAUGCGCGGUGAAAAUAUGCAACAAACGGAAACGACGAAAACAGGAGAAAGAACUGCUUUCAGCGUAUAACAUGGUGGCCUGCCGAGUCACUGAUUCAAGGAACGGCGCAGGGCAGGGCCCCCAGGGAACAGUGCCUUUGAAAAAGUCGACAAACUUAAACUCGUGCGGCGAGUCAGUAUCGACGCUGACCCGUUGCAGCCCGUUGAACCCGCAACCGCAACAACUGCUUCAGAAACCACUUCAGCCACGUCCUCCGCAAGUAGCCCCGGUAACGGGGAUCGCUAGUGCGGUAACCGGCCCAGCAAAUGCCACGGGCACCGCGGCUACCCCGGAGCAGGUUUCCGAGGAGGCGUCCUCGAACCACGACCGCGACCAUCUGGGCCAUCACGCCCACCACGCCCUCCACCUCGAUAACAGAGAUUACGAGAGCGUGUUUAUCAUUGAGAGGCGGAACAGUAAGCCGAACCUGCGCUAGCCGAGACGAGCCGAAGGGCCGAGAGACGAGCUCUGCGUUUUACCCUCCAGGUCGUCGGCGAUACCGUAGAUGCGACGACGCCGCGACGCCUCGGCUCGGAGAGUUGGAAUAGAGCGAGGAGGAGAGUCGGUCUUCGCCUAGACGCGACGCCUAGUGCCGAACUCGGGAUUGUUGUAUGCGGAAUAUGCGACGGACCAACGUGCGAUGCGAUGUCCGUCGACGACACCCUCGAUAUAUAGGACCUUAGCCACGUCUUCGCCGAUAAACCACCACCACCACUACCGCUACCGCUACUGCUACUACCUACUACUACUACUACCACUACUACUACUACUACUACUACUACUACUACUGCCUACCUACUACCACUAAUCUACUACCACUAAUCUACUACCAAUUAGGAUGAUUGUCUUGAACGUAGAUGAAAACGAUACAGGCAAACGGCUAGGAUCACUAGUUCUUCCAACCUGGAAAAGGCCGAGUACCAGGUCUAAAUCUGCUGCGAGAGAACCUGACGCCGAGGACGCCGGACUCGUUGCGGGGCCGUCCGCUUGGUAAGAUAUCUCGAG
rnacentral:misc_RNA from 1 species